rnacentral:rRNA from 1 species
UACGAAGGGGGCUAGCGUUGCUCGGAAUCACUGGGCGUAAAGCGCACGUAGGCGGACCGGACAGUCAGAGGUGAAAAUCCCAGGGCUCAACCUUGGAACUGCCUUUGAAACUAUCGGUCUGGAGUUCGAGAGAGGUGAGUGGAAUUCCGAGUGUAGAGGUGAAAUUCGUAGAUAUUCGGAGGAACACCAGUGGCGAAGGCGGCUCACUGGCUCGAUACUGACGCUGAGGUGCGAAAGCGUGGGGAGCAAACAGG